GCCAGGCGUGGUGGCGCACGCCUGUAAUCCCAGCUACUCAGGAGGCUGGGGCAGGAGAAUCGCUUGAACCCAGGAAGCAGAGGUUGCAGUGAGCAAAGAUUGCACCACUGCACUCCAGCCUGGGUGAUAGAGCGAGACCCUGUCUUAA
ensembl:misc_RNA Metazoa_SRP Metazoan signal recognition particle RNA